rnacentral:other from 1 species
UUGGUGCUGCGAGGUGCGUCAGGCCACCCGAUCCCUGGGGCCAAUACCGAACCUCUAGGGAGCUGUCCCUGCCGGAGCCGUGGUUCCGGUAUAUGGCGCCCACCUGCUUGGCAGGCCACAGAGGAUGAUCGUUGCCAACGGCCAUCGCGGCACCACU